UUUAGGAGUUUGAUGGCCUGAAACCGGACGCAAUACACGAUAUUAUUUUUAUUUUAUUUUUUUUAGGUGGACGAUGCUAUGGCCGCAAGUCUCUCCGAGUUUAGUAUUGGCCCAGUAGGUCAUCUUGGGAGUUUGCGUUUUCCAUGUCUUCAUCCAGAACGCGUUCCAGCGACUCGCAGACUUUCUGAAGACCAUGAUCUAGCAGUGUUUCAUUGCUGUCAGCCAUUUUUAACUGGCCUUGUUGAAGUAGUGGCUGCUGUCGAUGUGGCAGUGAUUGCAAGUUUGCUGGCUCCUCAGUUGAUGUCGUUAGCGGCUGUUGUGACUACCUUGAUAGAGCCUGUGGAGUUUGUAUUGGCAGAGCUUGCUGUGCUUGUUGAUCCUGCUGCCUCGCGUCCACAUAGCCUGGUAGGAUUAAUCGCUGGAGUGGGGGCUGGCCCUGGAUGCGGACCACUAGCUCUUCGCGAGUGAUUUGUCCGCUUCUAUACAUUCUUCUAUACGAAUUUAUACUUGAUUCUCCGUAUCUUCGGCGGCCAAUUUGAUUGCUGGACCCUUUGCCUGACCUGGAUUUCGGCCAGUCUCUCAUUUUCUCGCCUCUCAAGCUCUUCUUCUUGAAGCCGGAGAAGUGUUGGAAUUUGCUCCCUGUCUUGCAUCAUUUGUUGUGCCUGUUGUGUUUGCCGAGCGGUGUAUUGUAUGUGAGAUGGCUGUCCUUGGCGCUGUUGAGGCCCAUGUCGUUGCUGCAGCGAUCGUAUGUGUUGUUGUAUUUGCUGCGUGUAGGGGGACCCUCUGUAAGCGCUGCGGCUCAAAUGGGUGCGAUAGCAGAUUUCGUGCCUCAGAAUUUGCGUGUCUGGUCAAGGAGCUUGCUUGAGAGAGGUAUGUUUGGUUCCCUCCAACAGCUGUCGUUGGCAACGCAGCGGCACACAUGAUCACUGUAUCGUCGGCGUAUAUUGAUAAUAGCAUGUGGAUUUUUUGGGCUCCAUAAUAUGUGCUUCGCAUGAGUGAUGGAAGGGGCAUAUCCGAGGAGUAUAAUGUAUACAAUAUUGGGCCCAGUUGUUACGGAACUGCUUGUUUCUCAGUGGGCCGCGCCGGCUGGCUCAUCGGAUUCUCUGGGUGUAGUCCCAUCCCUGGCCCGCAGUCCGUUUCUCUGUACCUUCAUUUAUAUCGUAUUUAUUUUUCUUUGAUUACACACCGACUUCAAAGAAGCCGAGUGCUUCUUCACCAUUGGGCGCCAUAUUGUUACGGAACUGCUUGUUUCUCAGUGGGCCGCGCCGGCGGGCUCAUCGGAUUUUUCGGGUGUAGUUCCAUCCCUGGCGCGCAGUCCGGACAAUCGAUAACAACAAAGCUACACUUCUGUAGCAAAACAGACUCACACAACUAACUAACCAAUAUUCGGAUCUGCUAACUCAUGAACAAAAUAAACAGCUGUAACAACUAUGAAAAUGUAAACAACAAAGAUCGGGCCCCGGUUCCGGACCCAGCGUACCCGCUCCACCAUGAGACGAUCACCUACACUCGUCUCCUUCAUUUUGGCCACUAAAUGGCCUACAUUAGCCAGUGUCGACCCUCAUGCCCACUCUCCCCAACAAUUUACUUUAGCCGGACAUGCUUUCUUUCAAUAACUAUUUAGAAUCUCAUGCAAGUGGAUAUUUCGUUAACUUCACAGAUAAAUAAGUAUUCAUGCACGUGAACAUUUCUUCCCCGGGCGACGAAAUACUACAAAGAUAUUGCUAGUCGCCGCAAAAGAAACACGCAAGGAGGCAAUUUAGAGGCAAUCGUUGCGACGAUUUAGGAACAAUAAAAACAAUAAAAACGAUAAUCAGUCGUGCAACAGGUAGGUGAUAUAGAUCUGUAUUAAAUCGCUUAAUUAUACCUUACCCUACCUAAAGAGCUCUCAGGGGUGGUAGGGGCAAUUUAAAUGGAUAAUUCCAAUUAGGCGCAGAUGGAUCACCUUUGGAGUUUCCCUCACCGUUCGCACUCUAAAGUGAAGCUCGGCGUAAGUGCCUAUGAAGUACUUUUCAGGAGUCUUCAUCAUUUCUCUGCCAAGGGCCCGAACGAGGAUGGGCAAAAAGAAAACGGACUCACUCGGGGGAUGUGGGUGUGGUGUCGCCUGUGGCCGCUUCUUCGUUGUUGUCGCCCGGUCGUUGGUGGCUCGUCUCGUCGCCUUCAGGGUUGCGCCGACGCUUGGCUGGUGGCGUCGCG